AAAUGAAUAGACGGGGGCCCGCACAAGCAGUGGAGUAUGUGGUUUAAUUCGACGCAACGCGAAGAACCUUACCUGGUCUUGACAUCCCGUGCAUAGCCUAGAGAUAGGUGAAGCCCUUCGGGGCACGGAGACAGGUGGUGCAUGGUUGUCGUCAGCUCGUGUCGUGAGAUGUUGGGUUAAGUCCCGCAACGAGCGCAACCCUUGCUGAUAGUUACUACGAAAGAGGACUCUAUCGGGACUGCCGUUGACAAAACGGAGGAAGGUGGGGAUGACGUCAAAUCAUCAUGCCCUUUAUGACCAGGGCUACACACGUACUACAAUGGGCGUUAACAGAGGGGACCGAACCCGCGAGGGGGAGGAAAUCCGAUAAAAGCGCUCUCAGUUCAGAUUGCAGGCUGCAACUCGCCUGCAUGAAGUCGGAAUUGCUAGUAAUCGCGGAUCAGCAUGCCGCGGUGAAUACGUUCCCGGGCCUUGUACACACCGCCCGU
rnacentral:rRNA from 1 species